UACGGAGGAUCCAAGCGUUAUCCGGAUUUAUUGGGUUUAAAGGGUGCGUAGGCGGAUUGAUAAGUUAGGGGUGAAAUGUCCGAGCUUAACUCGGGAACUGCCUCUAAUACUGUUGAUCUAGAGAGUAGAUGCGGUAGGCGGAAUGUAUGGUGUAGCGGUGAAAUGCUUAGAGAUCAUACAGAACACCGAUUGCGAAGGCAGCUUACCAAUCUAUAUCUGACGUUGAGGCACGAAAGCGUGGGGAGCAAACAGG
rnacentral:rRNA from 1 species